rnacentral:rRNA from 1 species
GGGCCCGCACAAGCGGUGGAGCAUGUGGUUUAAUUCGAUGAUACGCGAGGAACCUUACCAGGGUUUAAAUGUAGAGUGCUUUUCUGGAAACAGAUUUUUCCUUCGGGACGCUUUACAAGGUGCUGCAUGGUUGUCGUCAGCUCGUGCCGUGAGGUGUCGGGUUAAGUCCCAUAACGAGCGCAACCCCUAUUUCUAGUUGCCAGCGGAUAAUGUCGGGGACUCUAGAAAAACUGCCCGUGCAAACGGUGAGGAAGGUGGGGAUGACGUCAAAUCAUCACGGCCCUUACAUCCUGGGCUACACACGUGCUACAAUGGUAGGUACAAAGGGCAGCUACACAGCGAUGUGAUGCUAAUCUCUAAAGCCUAUCUCAGUUCGGAUUGGAGUCUGCAACUCGACUCUAUGAAGCUGGAAUCGCUAGUAAUCGC